AUUAAUAGUAAUGUAUUAUUAGUUAAUGUACUAGAGUUCAGCUGCUAUACUAUCAAUAGCACCAAGCACUUGAUACUACCAAAUUUCCGCCGUUAAAUCUGUCCCUUUGACUAUUUCCACCUGUUGGACAUACUAUUCAACCAACCACCCACUCGACCUUAGGGGACCACUAUCAUCCUAACCACACAUCCCUUCAUUCAAGGGUCAAAAACCUAAUAACACCAAUGUCACGCCCCGUAUGAUAGCAGAAGCUAGGGUUACGUCGGUAAAUAAGCCGCAUGUACAAGAAUAUACCUUAUACAUAUGAAGUAUCAAUAAAACUUGUCGAAAGAAGUUACUAAAGUCCAACAAAUAUAGGUAUCAGAGUAGAAUAAAAACUAAGAUAAACUUCAAAUACCCCCCUUGUGGUUUCACACUUUCUCCUUGUGGUUUAAAGUGUAUCAAGUUAGUCCUUAUGGUUUCGUACUUUCUCACUUUAGUACCUUGUGAUUUAAAAUGUAUCAAGUUAGUACCCUGUGGUUUCAUUUUUCUUUUUUUAUUAUCCAUUUCACUAAUUUUGUUCGUUAAAUCAGUGGCAAAGUUAAAAUUAAAGGGUACUAAAGUGAAUAUUCGAUAAACCUAGGUAGGGUAUCUGAAGUUUUUUUUGCAUAUAAUUUAAUAAAAUAUUAACGGAGGAAAAAAAAAUCAGUGACAAAGUUAAAACUAAAGGAUACUAAAGUAAAUAUUCGAUAAACCUAGAUAGGAUAUCUGAAGUUUUUUGUAUAUAAUUUAACGAAAUAUUAACAGAAGAGCCGACGAAAAGAAAAAAAGAAACCAUAGGGUAUUAAAUUGAUACACUUUAAACCACAGGGUACUAAAAUGAGAAAGUACGAAACUAUAGGAUACUAAAUUAAUACACUUUAAACCACAGGGUACUAAAGUAAAAAAGUACGAAACCACAUGGGUGGUAUUUAAAGUUUUUCCUAAAAACUAUAUAUUAAAACAACACUAUAGAUAUGCAAUCAUCACUACGUCAAUCCAUAAAAU
rnacentral:lncRNA from 1 species